rnacentral:lncRNA from 1 species
CACAAACCUGACAACAACCAUACACCAACUUUACACCAACUUUACACCAGUCUUUCACCAACCUUACACCAAUCUUUCACCAACUUUACACCAAUCUUACACCAACUACACACCAAUUUCACACCAACCUUAAAACAGCUAUACACUAACCUUACACCAACCUUACAUCAAUCAUACACCAACCUUACACCAACCUCACAAAAACCUUACAACAACCUUACACCAACCUUAGAACAACCAUACACCAACUUUAUACCAACCUUAAACCAGCUAUACACCAAUCUUACACCAACUUUACACCAAUCUUACACCAACCUUAAACUAGCUGUACACCAACCUUACACCAACCUUAAACUAGCUGUACACCAACCUUACACCAACCUUAAACUAGCUGUACACCAACCUUACACCAACCUUAAACUAGCUGUACACCAACCUUACACCAACCUUAAACUAGCUGUACACCAACCUUACACCAACCUUAAACUAGCUGUACACCAACCUUACACCAACCUUAAACUAGCUCUACACCAACCUUACACCAAUCUUAAACUAGCUGUACACCAACCUUACACCAACCUUAAACUAGCUGUACACCAACCUUACACCAACCUUAAACUAGCUGUACACCAACCUUACACCAACCUUAAACUAGCUGUACACCAACCUUACACCAACCUUAAACUAGCUGUACACCAACCUUACACCAACCUUAAACUAGCUGUACACCAACCUUACACCAACCUUAAACUAGCUGUACACCAACCUUACACCAACCUUAAACUAGCUGUACACCAACCUUACACCAACCUUAAACUAGCUCUACACCAACCUUACACCAAUCUUAAACUAGCUGUACACCAACCUUACACCAACCUUAAACUAGCUGUACACCAACCUUACACCAACCUUAAACUAGCUGUACACCAACCUUACACCAACCUUAAACUAGCUGUACACCAACCUUACACCAACCUUAAACUAGCUGUACACCAACCUUACACCAACCUUAAACUAGCUGUACACCAACCUUACACCAUCCUUAAACUAGCUGUACACCAACCUUACACCAACCUUAAACUAGCUGUACACCAAUCUUACACCAACCUUACACCAACCAUACAGCAACCUUACACUCAGCAGCCGACCCAAGAGUUAUCUCAACACCCACAAGCACUACAUAUAUAG